rnacentral:lncRNA from 1 species
GCUCUCUUGUGCAAGAUACGUGGGGGAAGGGGUGGGAUGUGGAGAGAGAAACAUGAGAGGGGGGGGGGGGAGUGGAAGAUACAUUAGAGUAAUUUUAGUACACUAAUUAUUAUCAUUAAUUCCCUUAAAAUGUACAUAAAUGAUAAUUGGGUAUAUAAAAUGUAAUUAUAGUAAACUUUGAGCAGAGAGGAUAAUAUAGUUUCAUAUAGUGUAUAGAAAUAUAAAAAUUUCAUAUUUAAAUAUUAUUUUCGUUUCUCAAUGUAUUUAAACAUGACCGCGUAACUACGACUGAGUUUGGGUUUAGGGUCGUGAUAAAGACCCUUGGAUGAACCGAGAAUACUUCCAUACAGUUCCUUGCAAGCUCUUCAAUAAGCCAUUAUAUUAUCUGACAUCUCAACUGCAGAAAAAAAAAAGGAGCAAUCAUAUGAAAAGGAAAAAAAUCAAAUCUCUAUAUACUGAAUCAUAUGUUCCACCCCUACAAGGUCACAAACCCAAAAAAGAAUAUUUGCAGCUCAUUUAAAGGCAUAAAUUUAAAUGUGUAUGACAUCAUGGUUAAGACUCAACUAUUUUAGAUAGUACAAUAUAUUAUCCAAUGUCACAUACAGAUCAAAUGGUUCUUUUUUGAUUUUGUGGAUUAUUUCUCCACGACUAACAGAUUGGGCUACUAUAACCUCUCUAAAAUUGGCUCCUGGUAGACUAACCUCAAUUCGGGAUUUAAAUCGAUGACUUAGGACACCAUAAAUUAUCUUAAGUGGCGACUCUGAAUUUUUAAUAAAUUAAUCACGUUUUAAUUGUCACUUUAAGUUGGAAGAAACUCCCUUAUACAUCCCUUUACGCGGGUGUAGGUGAAAAAGGAGGUGUGACAGCUCUGACGACUCUGCUGGGGACAAGAACCCAGAAUCUCUGGUUUAGGGUUCAAGAAUUUGAGCUUAGAAUAAUUGUUAUAUUUGGCUUUAUUUAUUAUCUGGUUUAUUCACAUGUUUGGGCUUAAUGUGCUAAAUGUUGCUUUUUACCGCUUUGAUAUUAUUUGAACUGUAUAUAUAAACUGUUACAAAAUCCUUCUUCUUUCUGAGUCUUCUGAAUUUAUGGUGCACACGUGCGCGUGGCCCACUUUUCUGUUAGAAGUCAUACCAAGUAAAACGAGGUUGGGUCAAGUAACUAGACCGGGUAGACUUUCGUGCUCCCGGUACGUUGCCCCCGCUUCGGCUCGAGUUGUCCGCUCGGGUAAGCCAGGUCUAGAACAAUAAAUUCAGGUUUCAAACCUAGUAUAGCAUAACCUCAUGUCGGAUCCCUAGUAGGAGCGCUUGCUUGCAUCAUGUGCAUUUUGAUUUUGGGGACUAUCUGUUAGUCGCCAAAAACUUGGUCAACUUUAUUUAAAGAACGGGCCUUCUGGAUUUGGACAUUUGGCCCAUUUAUUAGACCAGCGUAACUAUUAUUUUUAGUGUUUCUUGUUCUCAACUUUCAUGAAAAAUAUAAUUAAUAAUAAUUAAAAUCAAUACUAGAAAAUUAGAAAGGAAAACACGAAUCUGAGCUUUAUGUUCAACAAUAUAAUUAUUAUGCUCUGUUUUUGCAUCUCACUCUAUAUUAAGUUCACUUGUUUAAAUAAACAUACUAGUAACAAAAAUAAUUCUAAAGCAAAUACUCAUGGUAAAUAAAGUAAUAAUGCACCAACAAAGUUGAUAAAAGAAACAACUGUUUGACAAAUAAACAAAAAUGAAGUUACGCCUUUGAAGAAAAGAAUUGGAUAUUUUAUAUUGGAGAAUCUAACCUCUUUCUGUACAAAGGAAUGAAAAUAGCAAGAAAAAUCCCCAGCGAACCUUGAACCUCGACUGAAACUCGCUGGCACCUUCACUCGAUCUCCUCCAAUUUCAAGAACCUUGUGCGUGUUUUGCUGGGUGAAAUCAACAGCUUUUAGAGUGGUUUGAUGGGUAUUUUAUUGCUGUAUUUUUAGGUGGAGAAUGAAGCCAUUCCGGACUGAUUUUCAGUUGGAUUUUGGGCGGUUUUGGCAGCCUUUUUUGCGCUGAUUUUUGGCGGGUUUGUUGCUGUUUUUUAGCUGCUUUGUGGGUGAUUUCGGGAACUGUGGGGAGCUGAUCUUGGAGUGUUUUAAUGGAUGAAGUUUCAGCUGGUUUUCGUGGUUAUUGAAUGAAGAAGAUGAAGCUGUUUUGAGGUUAUUUUUGAAGAAGAAGAUGGGCAGCAACUGCUGCGUUUUUUUUCUCUUUUUUCAGCAGCUCCGUUUUUUCUUCUCUUUGUAAUGCUGCGCUCCUCCCCACUACAAAUCAUUUCUUCAUAUUAAUUGUAUCCACUUAACUUAGUGCCUUUUAAUUUAGCUAUUGCAUUUCCUAAACCCUACCAUUAUAGAAACUUCCUAAGUUAGGUAAACACUUCCCC